GCCGGCAUGGCUCAGUGGUUGAGCAUCGACCUGUGAACUCAAGGGUCCCGAGUUCAAUUCCCGGUCAGGGCU
rnacentral:tRNA from 1 species